GUCCAGCCGCCGCGGUAAUACGAAGGGAACUAGCGUUGUUCGGAUUUACUGGGCGUAAAGAGCAUGUAGGCGGAUUGGACAGUUGGGGGUGAAAUCCCGGAGCUCAACUCCGGAACUGCCUUCAAUACUUCCAGUCUAGAAUCUGUAAGGGGGUGGUGGAAUUCCGAGUGUAGAGGUGAAAUUCGUAGAUAUCCGGAGGAACACCAGUGGCGAAGGCGACUUCCUGGGCCAAUACUGACGCUGAGGUGCGAAAGCGUGGGGAGCAAACAGGAUUAGAUA
rnacentral:rRNA from 1 species